CCUACGGGAGGCAGCAGUAGGGAAUUUUCGUCAAUGGGCGCAAGCCUGAACGAGCAAUGCCGCGUGAAGGUCAGUGCCCUAUGGGCGUUAAACUUCUUUUGUGCGGGAGCAAUAAUGGUCACGUGUGGCCAGACGAGAGUACCGUACGAAUAAGCAUCAGCUAACGCCGUGCCAGCAGCCGCGGUAAUACGGGGGAUGCAAGCGUUAUCCGGAUUUAUUGGGUUUAAAGGGUGCGUAGGCUGGGAGGUAAGUCAGCGGUGAAAUGCCCCCGCUCAACGGGGUGAAGUGCCAUUGAUACUGGCUUGCUGGAGUGCGGAUGCCGUGGGAGGAAUGUGUGGUGUAGCGGUGAAAUGCAUAGAUAUCACACAGAACACCGAUUGCGAAGGCAUCUCACGAAUCCGCGAUUGACGCUGAUGCACGAAAGCGUGGGUAUCAAACAGGAUUAGAUACCCGAGUAGUC
rnacentral:rRNA from 1 species